AUGGCGACUUCUAUGCUUCUCAGAAGGCAAUUCUCGCCUUCUUCUGCAUCAUCUCGCCGUGCUAUUGCCGCCUUCUCUACCCUCUUCCACUCGAGCCACUCACUGACGGCAUCUCCAGCUUCAACGGUCAAUAAUGGUGGUUUUCUGGGCAGUGUCAUCGAUUCAACCCCUGUUUCUAAACCUAGCUUUGAAGGCGGUAGGAGUAUGUACUCGCGAUCCGGCCGUCUGGAGUUUCGAGCGCCUUUUGCGUCGCAGGCGGCGGGUUUCGCAGUCGCCGAUUACUCGGAUGAUGAUAAGGUGAGAGCCGGUGGUUCGGGGGAUGAAGGUCUAGAGAUUUCUAAGCUUGGAAUUCAUCCUGAGGUCAUUUCUUGUUUGGCUAAGAGAGGAAUCACUAAACUCUUUCCAAUUCAGAAAGCUGUUCUUGAACCUGCAAUGCAGGGUCGUGACAUGAUUGGCCGUGCCAGAACAGGGACAGGGAAGACCCUUGCUUUUGGGAUUCCAAUCUUGGAUAAGAUUACACGCUAUAAUGCAAAAAAUGGGGCUGGGAGAGAACCUUUGGCCUUGGUUUUGGCCCCCACUAGAGAACUUGCACGGCAGGUGGAGAAGGAGUUCCAUGAGUCUUCAAGGCUAGAAACUCUAUGUGUAUAUGGAGGUACACCAAUUAGUCGUCAAAUGAGUGAUCUUAGCCGUGGUGUUGAUGUAGUUGCCGGUACACCUGGACGGAUUAUUGAUUUGUUGAAGAGAGGAGCAUUAGAUCUUUCUCGCGUUCAGUUUGUUGUACUGGAUGAAGCUGAUCAAAUGCUUAAUGUUGGAUUUGAGGAAGAUGUUGAGGUUAUAUUAGAGAAGCUGCCACAAAAUCGUCAAACUUUGAUGUUCUCUGCCACCAUGCCAAAUUGGAUCCUGAAGUUGACUAGGAAGUAUUUGAAAAAUCCAUUGACCGUUGAUCUUGUUGGUGAUUCGGAUCAGAAGCUGGCAGAUGGAAUUUCUUUGCAUUCAGUAGUAGUGGAACAUCGCACGAAAGCAGGUGUCAUUGGACCUCUUGUGACGGAACAUGCAAAUGGAGGGAAAUGCAUUGUUUUCACUCAAACAAAACGUGAUGCUGACAAUUUAUCUAAUGCACUGGGAAGAAAAAAUUACAAAGCUGAACCUUUGCACGGGGAUAUUUCUCAAAAUAUGAGGGAAAGAACGCUUAAACGGUUUAGAGAUGGGGACAUCAACAUUUUGGUUGCCACUGAUGUGGCUGCUCGUGGUCUUGACAUACCAAAUGUUGACCUGAUUAUACAUUAUGAACUCCCUAACAAUUCCGAGAGUUUCGUUCAUCGGUCUGGUCGUACAGGUCGUGCUGGAAAAAAAGGAAUUGCUAUUCUCAUGUAUACAAUGGAUCAAUCAAGGGCUGUUAAGGGUAUUGAGCGUGAUGUUGGAUGCAAAUUUAAAGAGCUUUCUACAGUUGCGACUGAUGGUGCAGAGUUGGAUAUGAACAUGGGUGGUGGAGGUCGUUAUGGAUCCGGAGAUCGAUUUGGGAACUCUGGCUUCAAUCGUUCAGGAGGAUAUGGAAGCAGUUCUCGUUCUGGUGGUUAUGGCGGAGAUUCCUAUUCUGGACGUUCUGGUGGUUAUGGACGUUCUGGCGGAUCCAGGGAAUCUGGAUCAGGUGGUUUUGGUUCUUAUGGAAGUUCUAGGUCAGGUGGUGGUGGAUAUGGUGGUUCAGGCAGCUCUGAUAGUUUUGGUAGGUCUGGUUUUAGUAAACCCAGUGGCGGUGGAUUCGGUGACAUGGGGAGAAAAGACAAAUCUGGGGGUUUCGGCAGUUUCGGUUCAGGACGUUCUAAUCAGAGCAGUGGAGGGUUUGGUAACGCUAAUUCUAGUCGAUUUGGCAGCUUUGGGGAUGAUAAAUUUUAGACGGCAGCCGGUUUUGGCUGGGCGAACAAUUGUUGAGCAGGGAUCCCAAACCUCUAUGGUUGCUGGAGUGGAUUUGGGUUUACCUGGAUUAGACUUGGGGCUCAUUUUCCUACAGGCGUGCAGGUGGGUGCGCAAAUCUGUUGCCUACCUGAAGCCAGUAGGAUGGCUCCCACCUCCAGUUUUAGCCUUUCAAAUCCCUGUUUGUGGUUCCACCGGGUCACAUUCCAUAUUUGUGCCCAGUUGUUCUUGCUACUUUAUGUUUUUAAAAGGUCAAUGCAUCAUUCAGCUGCAGGCAAGGAUUUGAUUGCUAUAUGGAAACGAACAUGAGUAUCAAUUUCUGGAACAAUUAUGGGGUGUGCAUCAAUUAAUUCAGAUCGUUGUUUCUUCUGAAAUCGAAGUCAUGAUGGUAACCAUACAAGUGUUCUUGGUGAAAAAUAUAGCUUUUUUUUUUAUGAACGUAAUACCUUGUUUGUAAUAUAUAACCAGUUAGAGUAGGCACUACCUAAUUAUUUAUGCUUAAGACUAUUCUGGGAUCUUGGCUCUGUCCUUAUACAAGUAAAUAAGGCAUUUUGAAGAGCUUGUAUGCCAUUCAAUUAUGCGUUUAUUUGUUUUUUGUUUUGAAGUUUUGGUGAUGUACAGUACGUUGUCCUCCAAGGAACCUUAUAAACGAUCUUACCCCGCUAUCCACAAAUAAAGAGUUGAACUCUAGAUCUUUUGUGGACUUUUUUUUUGA